rnacentral:rRNA from 1 species
UUAAAUUGAAGAGUUUGAUCAUGGCUCAGAUUGAACGCUGGCGGCAGGCCUAACACAUGCAAGUCGAGCGGUAGCACAGAGAGCUUGCUCUCGGGUGACGAGCGGCGGACGGGUGAGUAAUGUCUGGGAAACUGCCUGAUGGAGGGGGAUAACUACUGGAAACGGUAGCUAAUACCGCAUAACGUCGCAAGACCAAAGUGGGGGACCUUCGGGCCUCAUGCCAUCAGAUGUGCCCAGAUGGGAUUAGCUAGUAGGUGGGGUAACGGCUCACCUAGGCGACGAUCCCUAGCUGGUCUGAGAGGAUGACCAGCCACACUGGAACUGAGACACGGUCCAGACUCCUACGGGAGGCAGCAGUGGGGAAUAUUGCACAAUGGGCGCAAGCCUGAUGCAGCCAUGCCGCGUGUGUGAAGAAGGCCUUCGGGUUGUAAAGCACUUUCAGCGGGGAGGAAGGGGUAAGGUUAAUAACCUCAUCGAUUGACGUUACCCGCAGAAGAAGCACCGGCUAACUCCGUGCCAGCAGCCGCGGUAAUACGGAGGGUGCAAGCGUUAAUCGGAAUUACUGGGCGUAAAGCGCACGCAGGCGGUCUGUCAAGUCGGAUGUGAAAUCCCCGGGCUCAACCUGGGAACUGCAUUCGAAACUGGCAGGCUAGAGUCUUGUAGAGGGGGGUAGAAUUCCAGGUGUAGCGGUGAAAUGCGUAGAGAUCUGGAGGAAUACCGGUGGCGAAGGCGGCCCCCUGGACAAAGACUGACGCUCAGGUGCGAAAGCGUGGGGAGCAAACAGGAUUAGAUACCCUGGUAGUCCACGCCGUAAACGAUGUCGAUUUGGAGGUUGUGCCCUUGAGGCGUGGCUUCCGGAGCUAACGCGUUAAAUCGACCGCCUGGGGAGUACGGCCGCAAGGUUAAAACUCAAAUGAAUUGACGGGGGCCCGCACAAGCGGUGGAGCAUGUGGUUUAAUUCGAUGCAACGCGAAGAACCUUACCUGGUCUUGACAUCCACAGAACUUUCCAGAGAUGGAUUGGUGCCUUCGGGAACUGUGAGACAGGUGCUGCAUGGCUGUCGUCAGCUCGUGUUGUGAAAUGUUGGGUUAAGUCCCGCAACGAGCGCAACCCUUAUCCUUUGUUGCCAGCGGUCCGGCCGGGAACUCAAAGGAGACUGCCAGUGAUAAACUGGAGGAAGGUGGGGAUGACGUCAAGUCAUCAUGGCCCUUACGACCAGGGCUACACACGUGCUACAAUGGCAUAUACAAAGAGAAGCGACCUCGCGAGAGCAAGCGGACCUCAUAAAGUAUGUCGUAGUCCGGAUUGGAGUCUGCAACUCGACUCCAUGAAGUCGGAAUCGCUAGUAAUCGUAGAUCAGAAUGCUACGGUGAAUACGUUCCCGGGCCUUGUACACACCGCCCGUCACACCAUGGGAGUGGGUUGCAAAAGAAGUAGGUAGCUUAACCUUCGGGAGGGCGCUUACCACUUUGUGAUUCAUGACUGGGGUGAAGUCGUAACAAGGUAACCG